UACAAGGCAGCAGUGGGGAAUAUUGCACAAUGGGCGCAAGCCUGAUGCAGCCAUGCCGCGUGUAUGAAGAAGGCCUUCGGGUUGUAAAGUACUUUCAGUCGUGAGGAAGGUGUUAAGGUUAAUAACCUUAGCAAUUGACGUUAGCGACAGAAGAAGCACCGGCUAACUCCGUGCCAGCAGCCGCGGUAAUACGGAGGGUGCGAGCGUUAAUCGGAAUUACUGGGCGUAAAGGGCACGCAGGCGGUUAAUUAAGUUGGAUGUGAAAUCCCCGGGCUUAACCUGGGAAUGGCAUUCAAGACUGGUUAGCUAGAGUCUUGUAGAGGGGGUAGAAUUCCAUGUGUAGCGGUGAAAUGCGUAGAGAUGUGGAGGAAUACCGGUGGCGAAGGCGGCCCCUGGACAAAGACUGACGCUCAUGUGCGAAAGCGUGGGGAGCAAAC
rnacentral:rRNA from 1 species